CAGAGUUGCAAGACUCCCUAAACCAUUGUGAAACCUACCUUCUACUGUUUGCUUCGGCGGGCGGGCCCAGCGCCCCCCCCGGCCCCCCGCGGGGCGCCCGCCCGGAGGAUACCCAAACUCUUGACAUUAGUGGCCUCUCUGAGUAUUCUUUACUGAAUAAGUCA
rnacentral:misc_RNA from 1 species